rnacentral:rRNA from 1 species
UACGAGUGGUGCAAGCGUUAUUCGGAAUGAUUGGGCGUAAAGGGUGUGUAGGCUGCAUGUUUAGUCAAUUGUCAAAUUUCCCGGCUUAACCGGGAGGAGGCUGUUGAUACUGGCGUGCUUGAGGAUGGAAGAGAGAAGUGGAAUUCUCGGAGUAGCGGUAAAAUGCGUAGAUCUCGAGAGGAACACCGAUGGCGAAGGCAGCUUCUUGGUCCAUUUCUGACGCUGAGGCACGAAAGCGUGGGGAGCAAACAGG